rnacentral:lncRNA from 1 species
UAAAAGUUGUCUUCAAUUGAGUAACGCUACUUGUGACAUCCCUAAAAUAGGUCUACACAACACAUUCUGAGUCGCCAAAAAUAUGGUAUAGAAUCCAAAUACAAACUUCCUAUUUACAAUAAUUAACUGUCGUUUAAAAUACAACAAAAUAUAAGCUGUGAGUUUCAAUACAAAUAUUGUCUUGUAGAAAAUAUCCAAACUCAAAUGAAG